UGGGGAAUAUUGGACAAUGGGCGAAAGCCUGAUCCAGCAACGCCGCGUGAGGGAUGACGGCCUUCGGGUUGUAAACCUCUUUCAGCAGGGACGAAGCGCAAGUGACGGUACCUGCAGAAGAAGCACCGGCCAACUACGUGCCAGCAGCCGCGGUAAUACGUAGGGUGCGAGCGUUGUCCGGAAUUAUUGGGCGUAAAGGGCUCGUAGGCGGUCUGUCGCGUCGGGAGUGAAAACACGGGGCUUAACCCCGUGCCUGCUUCCGAUACGGGCAGACUAGAGGUAUGCAGGGGAGAACGGAAUUCCUGGUGUAGCGGUGAAAUGCGCAGAUAUCAGGAGGAACACCGGUGGCGAAGGCGGUUCUCUGGGCAUUACCUGACGCUGAGGAGCGAAAGUGUGGGGAGCGAACAGGAUUAGAUACCCUGGUAGUCCACACCGUAAACGUUGGGCGCUAGGUGUGGGACUCAUUCCACGAGUUCCGUGCCGCAGCUAACGCAUUAAGCGCCCCGCCG
rnacentral:rRNA from 1 species